rnacentral:rRNA from 1 species
UUAAGCGACUAAGCGUACACGGUGGAUGCCUAGGCAGUCAGAGGCGAUGAAGGGCGUGCUAAUCUGCGAAAAGCGUCGGUAAGCUGAUAUGAAGCGUAAUAACCGACGAUACCCGAAUGGGGAAACCCAGUGCAAUUCGUUGCACUAUUGCAUGGUGAAUACAUAGCCAUGCAAGGCGAACCGGGGGAACUGAAACAUCUAAGUACCCCGAGGAAAAGAAAUCAACCGAGAUUCCCCCAGUAGCGGCGAGCGAACGGGGAAGAGCCCAGAGUCUGAAUCAGUUGGUGUGUUAGUGGAAGCGUCUGGAAAGUCGCACGGUACAGGGUGAUAGUCCCGUACACAAAAACACACUGGCUGUGAACUCGAUGAGUAGGGCGGGACACGUGACAUCCUGUCUGAAUAUGGGGGGACCAUCCUCCAAGGCUAAAUACUCCUGACUGACCGAUAGUGAACCAGUACCGUGAGGGAAAGGCGAAAAGAACCCCGGCGAGGGGAGUGAAAUAGAACCUGAAACCGUGUACGUACAAGCAGUGGGAGCACCUUCGUGGUGUGACUGCGUACCUUUUGUAUAAUGGGUCAGCGACUUAUAUUUUGUAGCAAGGUUAACCGAAUAGGGGAGCCGUAGGGAAACCGAGUCUUAACUGGGCGUCUAGUUGCAAGGUAUAGACCCGAAACCCGGUGAUCUAGCCAUGGGCAGGUUGAAGGUUGGGUAACACUAACUGGAGGACCGAACCGACUAAUGUUGAAAAAUUAGCGGAUGACUUGUGGCUGGGGGUGAAAGGCCAAUCAAACCGGGAGAUAGCUGGUUCUCCCCGAAAGCUAUUUAGGUAGCGCCUCGUGAACUCAUCUUCGGGGGUAGAGCACUGUUUCGGCUAGGGGUCCAUCCCGGAUUACCAAACCGAUGCAAACUCCGAAUACCGAAGAAUGUUAUCACGGGAGACACACGGCGGGUGCUAACGUCCGUCGUGAAGAGGGAAACAACCCAGACCGCCAGCUAAGGUCCCAAAGUCAUGGUUAAGUGGGAAACGAUGUGGGAAGGCAUAGACAGCCAGGAUGUUGGCUUAGAAGCAGCCAUCAUUUAAAGAAAGCGUAAUAGCUCACUGGUCGAGUCGGCCUGCGCGGAAGAUGUAACGGGGCUAAACCAUGCACCGAAGCUGCGGCAGCGACGCUUAGGCGUUGUUGGGUAGGGGAGCGUUCUGUAAGCCGUUGAAGGUGGCCUGUGAGGGCUGCUGGAGGUAUCAGAAGUGCGAAUGCUGACAUAAGUAACGAUAAUGCGGGUGAAAAACCCGCACGCCGGAAGACCAAGGGUUCCUGUCCAACGUUAAUCGGGGCAGGGUGAGUCGACCCCUAAGGCGAGGCUGAAAAGCGUAGUCGAUGGGAAACAGGUUAAUAUUCCUGUACUGGGUGUGACUGCGAAGGGGGGACGGAGAAGGCUAGGCUAGCCGGGCGACGGUUGUCCCGGUUUAAGCAUGUAGGCGGAGCGACUUGGUAAAUCCGGUUGCUUAUCAACGCUGAGGUGUGAUGACGAGCCACUACGGUGGUGAAGUAGUUGAUGCCAAGCUUCCAGGAAAAGCCUCUAAGCAUCAGGUGACAUUCAAUCGUACCCCAAACCGACACAGGUGGUCAGGUAGAGAAUACUCAGGCGCUUGAGAGAACUCGGGUGAAGGAACUAGGCAAAAUGGUGCCGUAACUUCGGGAGAAGGCACGCUGGCAUUAGGUAAAGAGACUUGCUCUCGGCGCCGAAGCCAGUCGCAGAUACCAGCUGGCUGCAACUGUUUAAUAAAAACACAGCACUGUGCAAACACGAAAGUGGACGUAUACGGUGUGACGCCUGCCCGGUGCUGGAAGGUUAAUUGAUGGGGUCAGCCGCAAGGCGAAGCUCUUGAUCGAAGCCCCAGUAAACGGCGGCCGUAACUAUAACGGUCCUAAGGUAGCGAAAUUCCUUGUCGGGUAAGUUCCGACCUGCACGAAUGGCGUAAUGAUGGCCAGGCUGUCUCCACCCGAGACUCAGUGAAAUUGAACUCGCUGUGAAGAUGCAGUGUACCCGCGGCAAGACGGAAAGACCCCGUGAACCUUUACUAUAGCUUGACACUGAAUAUUGAGCCUUGAUGUGUAGGAUAGGUGGGAGGCAUCGAAGCGUGGACGCCAGUCUGCGUGGAGCCAACCUUGAAAUACCACCCUUUAAUGUUUGAUGUUCUAACUCGGCCCCAUAAUCUGGGGUGAGGACAGUGUCUGGUGGGUAGUUUGACUGGGGCGGUCUCCUCCCAAAGAGUAACGGAGGAGCACGAAGGUUAGCUAAUCACGGUCGGACAUCGUGAGGUUAGUGCAAAGGCAUAAGCUAGCUUGACUGCGAGAGUGACGGCUCGAGCAGGUACGAAAGUAGGUCUUAGUGAUCCGGUGGUUCUGAAUGGAAGGGCCAUCGCUCAACGGAUAAAAGGUACUCCGGGGAUAACAGGCUGAUACCGCCCAAGAGUUCAUAUCGACGGCGGUGUUUGGCACCUCGAUGUCGGCUCAUCACAUCCUGGGGCUGAAGUAGGUCCCAAGGGUAUGGCUGUUCGCCAUUUAAAGUGGUACGCGAGCUGGGUUUAGAACGUCGUGAGACAGUUCGGUCCCUAUCUGCCGUGGGCGUUGGAAGAUUGAGAGGGGCUGCUCCUAGUACGAGAGGACCGGAGUGGACGCAUCACUGGUGUUCGGGUUGUCAUGCCAAUGGCAUUGCCCGGUAGCUAAAUGCGGAAAAGAUAAGCGCUGAAAGCAUCUAAGCGCGAAACUUGCCUCGAGAUGAGUCUUCCCUGGGGCUUUAAGCCCCCUGAAGGAACGUUAAAGACUAUGACGUUGAUAGGCUGGGUGUGUAAGUGCAGCGAUGCAUUGAGCUAACCAGUACUAAUGAUCCGUGAGGCUUAACCUU